GCAAACGACAAUGGCGAGUGAGACAAAGUGUGUGUUGAUUUUUCGUUGGUGUGGUUCGUGGCGUGGAUCAGUGAGGAGGAGUACAAUUCAUCGAAGAGAAUGACGAAAUAACUGUGGCGUCCGUUCCUCUGUUGUGGUUCGUCGUGAGUAUGAAACAACGGCGUGUGGCCAAGCAAAAUGUCUGGGGCUGACAUCUUGUCCCGUGCACCAGACCCUGACUGACCUUCAUUCAGAGCAUCAAGUUUGCAAAAAUGCACCUUCGACGCUCAGCUGCUAAGGUCGUGAUCGACCUGCACAUCCAGAAUGGGCACCUACAGCAGCAGAACAACUGCAAGUCCGUUGGGCAGGUGCUCAGGCACGUGGUGUCUUUCAAGCACCAGGAGAGCAGGCGAGGCCCAGGGAACAGGCGGGCCCAGGGAACAGGCGGCACCCCAGGAACUGGCCAGGCCUGAACCACGCGAGCUGUUCCUGAUGCCUCUCAGCAACAUGGAACAGUUUUGUGCUGCAGAAGCACAGCUGAAGAACUUCACCAACAGGACACUGCCGGUAUUUAUGUGUCCUCUUUUUCACAAUAAUGACAGGUAUAAGGCUGCAAUUAUUACUUUGUGGUUUAACUUGGGUUAUCUGAAUAUUUAUGCAAAUGGGGUUGAAAUGUGGACUGAAGCCACUUACUGUAAUAUUUCAAAUGUACGCCCACUCAAACUGUGUUUUAAGCACAGUCGGUGGCAAAUUAAAAAUGAGUAAGAUGCCC